rnacentral:sRNA from 2 species
GCCUUCUGUUGGUGCUCUCCCCGCCGCAGCCCGCGCACAAAAGCUUGCUUGUUAGGGUUAAGCCAUUGGCUUAGUUGGCCCGUCAGGGGCUUCUGGAAGGAUCUGGAUUCCGCAUUUAAUUCAAUAAUGUUUGACUCUCAUCUCGGCACGACGUAAAAUCUGCUGUUCUAUCCCUCUUCCCCUGUCAGCUGCCCCUCCUGGUUUCUCUUGUUUUCCCGUCUCUGUUUACCCCACUAAGAGCUUGCGAAGGUUUCAAAUGGCUUUUGGAUAUAUCAUUACGCAAUAGAGCUUAUCCGCGGCUUUUCUUUUUCUGGCCAGUGAGAUGUGGCUUUCUAAGUACUAGGGAUUGUCCGCCUGAUCCCCCCCCCAACACUUCUCCUCGAUUCUUCGUCCUUCCAAUGCUUGUUAUUUGAUCGUAGCCUCGAUUCGCUAUCAAGAUAUAUCUACGAAUACAUUUGUUCUUUUCCUUCCGGGAUUCUACACCACGCACAUGCACCGCGACCUGGCAUUAUUGUCGUUUUCAUGAUAAGAGGAGCUGGAAGACGCUGAUGUCUUAGUACGGUCCUGCCUCAAUCGAGAGUGGGGGAAUUAUCGGGAGAUGAAUAGGAGUGGUUGAAAGGCAGGUCUAAUCUGGAGGAAGAGGGUGUGGAGCAAUGUUAUAUUAUGGUACGUUACUGUUUACGAUAAAAACGAGCAUUCUACGUUGUCUGUAUAAAGCAGUAUAAAGUGGCAUGAAGGGGGAGGGGGGGGAUGAUCGUCAUAAAUCAUCAAACCCGGAAAACAUUUAAUCAUACAUCGCGUACGGGUGCGUCGCCGUUGGUUAUCUCGUGGAGAAAUAGCGGAUCCGGCUGGUAGAGCAUGACGUGGAAGUGCUCAAUGGCAUGUAUGGAUUUCAGAGACUUCCAGUUUUUAAACCAUAUCACCUAUUAUGUUUCAUACGAUGGUUAGCAGGAAGCAAGAACUCCGACGUUUGCCAUAAGAAGAGAGGGAGAGGAUGAAAUGGAAAGACACAUUGGAAGAGUUAUGAGGUGGCAGGGAGGGAGAAGGGUAGGGGGAUGUUUCCGCUCUCCCACACCUUCUCAGCUGGCAUUCUGGAUCGAAACGUUUCCCCAACAAAGUCGUCGAUCUCCCUUCUCAUGCGCGGAGUCAAGUCAUCCGUGGCAGGGUCAUCUUCUAAUUCAAAUUUGGUCCAGACGACGAGGUGGACGAUGUCCUUCUCCACUCCAUAGGGCCAGUCAUUGUAGAGGAUCUUGAUGUCGUCUAUAUGCGUCAAAAGGGAGAAUUUUGCGCAGAUUCGGAUUCCAAGUCAGUAAGUCCCAAGAAGAAAAAUAGAAGACAUUUCUGUGUCCCUCCAUGCAAUCAACGGGCGAAAAGGAAGGACAAAAGACGGCAUAGAAAUGGGAGGCGAGGGAGGGAAAGGGAUAUUUACCCGGAUGCUGAAACGGUGCAGUCCCUCGUGCUUCUAAAUCGCCCACCCAACGCAGCCUCUUCUGAACCACAAAAUCCAAAACAGAACCAUAUAUUGCUUUAAUCUUUGCAAUAUACUCUAGGUACCUCCUUAAAUCUGAGGGCCAGCGCUGGAGAAGAUGUAUUUGAUUCGAUCCUAGUUUGAUUUUAAGCCUGGUAUAUUAGUCCCCGUUCUUUAAUACAGCCAACAAUAAGCAAUGUUAUUCUUUGCUUCCGUAUUUCCAUUUCUUUUUUUAAUCCACCGAUUUAUAAUACAACGAAGAGAAUAAACACCCACCAACUAUCUCCUUCACAAGGUCCCAGCUCUGCGGCUUAAACUGCGCAUCGGGCGUUGAAAGGGACUUUAUAGACUUCUGAGGUAGAUUGCGGAGGUAUUCUGGACACUCAGAUGGCCAUUG